UACGUAGGUGGCAAGCGUUGUCCGGAUUUACUGGGCGUAAAGGGCGUGCAGGCGGUCUGUUAAGUGCAGGGUGAAAGCUCCCGGCUCAACUGGGAGAGGUCCUUGCAUACUGGCGGACUUGAGGGGGGUAGAGGAAAGUGGAAUUCCCGGUGUAGUGGUGAUAUGCGUAGAUAUCUGGAGGAACACCGGUGGCGAAGGCGGCGUUCUGGACUGCAACUGACACUGAGAAACGAAAGCCAGGGGAGCAAACGGG
rnacentral:rRNA from 1 species